GACGAACGCUGGCGGCGUGCUUAACACAUGCAAGUCGAACGGAAAGGCCCUGCUUUUGUGGGGUGCUCGAGUGGCGAACGGGUGAGUAACACGUGAGUAACCUGCCCUUGACUUUGGGAUAACUUCAGGAAACUGGGGCUAAUACCGGAUAGGAUCUCCUGCUGCAUGGUGGUGGUUGGAAAGUGUCGGCUGUUGGGGAUGGACUCGCGGCUUAUCAGCUUGAUGGUGGGGUAGUGGCUUACCAAGGCUUUGACGGGUAGCCGGCCUGAGAGGGUUACCGGCCACAUUGGGCCUGAGAGACGGCCCAGUCUCCUACGGGAGGCAGCAGUGGGGAAUAUUGCACAAUGGGCGGAAGCCUGAUGCAGCAGCGCCGCGUGCGGGAUGACGGCCUUCGGGUUGUAAACCGCUUUGGCCUGUGACGAAGCGUGAGUGACGGUAAUGGGUAAAGAAGCACCGGCUAACUACGUG
rnacentral:rRNA from 1 species